rnacentral:rRNA from 1 species
GGAAUAUUGGACAAUGGGGGGAACCCUGAUCCAGCCAUGCCGCGUGUGUGAAGAAGGCCUUUUGGUUGUAAAGCACUUUAAGCGAGGAGGAGGCUCCCUAGACUAAUACUCUAGGAGAGUGGACGUUACUCGCAGAAUAAGCACCGGCUAACUCUGUGCCAGCAGCCGCGGUAAUACAGAGGGUGCAAGCGUUAAUCGGAUUUACUGGGCGUAAAGGGUACGUAGGUGGUCUUUUAAGUCGGAUGUGAAAUCCCUGAGCUUAACUUAGGAAUUGCAUUCGAUACUGGGAGACUAGAGUAUGGGAGAGGAUGGUAGAAUUCCAGGUGUAGCGGUGAAAUGCGUAGAGAUCUGGAGGAAUACCGAUGGCGAAGGCAGCCAUCUGGCCUAAUACUGACACUGAGGUACGAAAGCAUGGGGAGCAAACAGGAUUAGAUACCCGUG